CUUUUUCUCUUUGACUUCCAAUUGAAGGCUUCGGAGGGGCUUCGGGGAGCUCCAGGGUUGCUUCGUUUCCUUCCCCGAUCCGCGUCUCUUCCGGUCAGAGUAUAAAGCUGCGGUUUUGAGAGGGAAAUGGGCAAUCAUCAUCACCACCACCAUCACCAUGAAAGUGUUAGUCCAUAUGAUGAUCCCUUCUUGGCCUGCUGUUGCUGCCCAUGCUUUCUGGUGAGCUCCAUUUUGAGGGGGUUUGGGAGUUGCAUCUUGAUGGCCUGCUACCCCAUCUUCCGAUGCCUUGGCUUAGAUGAGUACAGUCAUCGCCACCACCAUCACCACCACAGUCAUUUCCAUUGAUCUACUGGACCAGUUAAUAUACCCCUCCGUGAUUUGAUUUGUAUGCUUGAUAUGUUGCAUGACUUGGUGUCUAGCGUUAAGCUUCCUGUGUGCUCAUUGUUUUGACUGUGAAGCUGGGAUUGCAUGGGAGAUACACAUGCUUCGGUAUUAAUCAAAUUGGCAUUCUGAGCACUUUGGGUGCACUGUGGACCUUGAUGUUUUCUUUUAAUUUAAGAUUUAUUGCAUUUUGACAAUACCA